AGCGAACGCUGGCGGCAGGCCUAACACAUGCAAGUCGAACGAACCUUUCGGGGUUAGUGGCGGACGGGGGAGGAACACGUGGGAAGGUGCCGUUAGGUUCGGAAUAAUUCAGGGAAACUUGUGCUAAUACCGAAUGUGCCCUUCGGGGGAAAGAUUAAUCGCCUUUAGAGCGGCCGGCGUCUGCUUAGCUAGUUGGUUGAGGUAAUGGCUAACCAAGGCGACGUUGAGUAGCUGGUCUGGGAGGAUGAUCAGCCACAUUGGGACUGAGACACGGCCCAAACUCCUACGGGAGGCAGCAGUGGGGAAUCUUGCGCAAUGGGCGAAAGCCUGACGCCGCCAUGCCGCGUGAAUGAUGAAGGUCUUAGGAUUGUAAAAUUCUUUCACCGGGGACGAUAAUGACGGUACCCGGAGAAGAAGCCCCGGCUAACUUCGUG
rnacentral:rRNA from 1 species